ACAAUAUCGAGAAAACCCACUGGCCUCUGAGGACAAGAAAGAGUGAUUUCAUAGUGACGCUGCGUCUUGGGGCUGCUGUUUGGGUCUGAUAGCCAGUGCACUUUCAGGGUGAAGAACUGUGUGCUAUUGAAGAUUCUCUCCUAUUUCUUCAAAAGGCCCAUGCUCAUCAAGAGGCUAGGGAGAGGAGUGUGGAUUCAGGAACCCGAGUUAUCGAAAGCCCAUGUACUGGGUACUACAUUAUACAGAAACCCCAAGAAGAGUGAGCAGCAAGUUAAACAUCUUUUACUAAGGGCUGCCUUUCUUUUAACUAUCUUUCUGUAUCCUGGAGCUCAUUGGUCUUACUGUGGCAUUCUGCAAAGGUAGUCUGAUUUCAUUAAGUGAGAGAGUGACAGGAUGUUUCCUGAGACGUGUUUUGCCAAUAGGAAUACAGCAUACAAUGCAUAAGGUAUGUAUUAAAAAAUCAUCAGAAAUGCUAUAUAGGUAUAAGUCACUACAUCAAAACAUAUUUCUGUUCAAAACCAUAUAUUUUUAUUCAGUCCAGAAAUACUUUUUGAAUAUAUGUCAAAAGUUUUAAGGUGUUAAUAUCACAUUGUAUUCUUUAGCUACUCAAGAAGAUAGGCAUUGUCCCUUAGUUAACACAUUUGAUAUUCUUUGGGUUUUAAAAUAAAAAUUAAUAUACUCACUUUAUUUAAAUUUCAAUAUUACACAAGAUUGACAUAAAAUGGAAAGUAAAGAUCUCCUUCCUCCCUCCAAAAUUUCUAUUAACACUCCUCAGAAAUAGCCACCCUUAACAGUUUUUUUGUGUAUCUUUUCAA